rnacentral:rRNA from 1 species
GACGAACGCUGGCGGCGUGCUUAACACAUGCAAGUCGAACGGAGUGGCGAACGGGCGAGUAACACGUGGGUGACCUGCCCUGCACUUCGGGAGAAGCCCGGGUAACUGGGUCUAAUACCGGAGCGUGUGGGAUGGGCCCGCGGCCUAUCAGCUUGUUGGUGGGGUAAUGGCCUACCAAGGCGGCGACGGGUAGCCGGCCUGCGAGGGUGGACGGCCACAUUGGGCCUGAGACACGGCCCAGACUCCUACGGGGGGCAGCAGUGGGGAAUAUUGCGCACGGGGCGGAAGCCUGAUGCAGCGACGCCGCGUGGGGGAUGACGGCCUUCGGGUUGUAAACUCCUUUCACCAUCGACGCGGUAGAUGGAGAAGAAGCACCGGCUAACUACGUGCCAGCAGCCGCGGUAAUAC